CCAUUCCUGUGUGCCAUAUUCACGUCACGCUGUGAUGCUCAAGAAACCUCCCCGUCUCCAGGAAGAGGUUUCCCUACCGAUAUGCGGCUUUACGACUGCACGCAUGGUUGGAGGGAAUUCAUAAACCACAUGGAAACUGUUUGAUAAUGGAAUGCUUCCCUCAUUCUCCAGAAUAACAGUCAUGAGGAAUGAAUGCCAAAGGAGAGAACCUUUUACAGACUUGCGCGACCACGCUUUCUAUUUGCCUGGAAGGCAGCGACUGCCAGGUCGGAAGAAGGUUAACCACAUCGCCACGGAAAGAAAUGAUGUACAGAAAUGGGCGUUUUAGGUGCAGUGGGAAAGGCACAAACAAACUACAGCAAAAUGCUACCUGGUUUAACCAAACGAAUGGGCCUUGAGUAGCAAAGUUCUAGACAGUAUACUUUUUAAUUCUGAUUGAUAAUUAGGUUGGCCUAUUAUUUAUAUAUUGCUUGCAUGUUAUAUUUAAAAUUAGAUUUUAAAAGCAAUUUGAUUGAUCUUUAUUUUAUUUAAACAUAUAAAUUGUGGUUUUUGAUAAAUAAAAAGCUAUUGGUGUAAUGUAUAGCUUGCAUGUCAAAUGAAUAUUUGAUGCGUGUCUAUGCUUUAUCUAUGACAUAUACCUGUUUAUUAAGGAGUAAAAAUACUUUUAAAAGGGUUGUUUAUUAAUAUGUUUGUUCAUAUCUCCCGCCUGAUUUUAAGCAACUCUGUACAAAACAUGCUGCUGUUUUUUCGGUUGCUCUGUCCAAUGUUUAUUUUUUCAAGGAGAUAUGAACAAUACCUAAUUUGUUAAAUAUAACCGUAAUACUACCAAAGGUAUUUGUUAGAAAUAUGCAACACUAUGAAUCAAUUCGUCACCAGGAAACAAAGACUUAUUUGAAUUUUGACAUGUUUGCUCUUGUUUAAACUUGUUGUAAUGUUUGUACAUUAAACUUCUUUCAGUGU